rnacentral:rRNA from 1 species
UACGGAGGAUCCGAGCGUUAUCCGGAUUCAUUGGGUUUAAAGGGUGCGUAGGUUGUUUUAUAAGUUAGCGGUGAAAUACCGAUGCUCAACAUCGGGGCUGCCGCUGAUACUGUAGGACUAGAGAUCGGAUGCAGCAGGCGGAAUGUGUAGUGUAGCGGUGAAAUGCAUAGAUAUCGCGCAGAACCCCGAUUGCGAAGGCAGCGUGCCGUGCCGCCACUGACGCUGAGGCACGAAAGCGCGGGGAUCGAACAGG